rnacentral:rRNA from 1 species
UCGAGGAUCUUCGGCAAUGGGCGAAAGCCUGACCGAGCGACGCCGCGUGUGGGAUGAAGGCCUUCGGGUUGUAAACCACUGUCAACGGGGAGGAAAUGCAGGAGGGUACUCCCUCCUGUUUGACCUAUCUGUGGAGGAAGUACGGGCUAAGUUCGUGCCAGCAGCCGCGGUAAGACGAACCGUACAAACGUUAUUCGGAAUCACUGGGCUUACAGGGUGCGUCGGCUGCGCGGUACGUUGGGUGUGAAA